AUGUAUACAUAUCUUGAAAGAAACAUCUCAGGUUGCAACUACCGGUGGAUCUGGAAAGCCCGUAUUCCUUUGAAAAUUUAGAUUUCCAUGUGGCAAUUGUCGCAGGAUGCGGUGCUAACUAGGGACAUGAUGAAACAUCGUGGGUGGAAAGGGGAACCAAAGUGCUCGUUCUGCGGGGAAAGGGAGACUUCCCAACACCUAUUUUUCACGUGCCCUGUUGCGAGAGUUACCUGGAGAGUGGUGGGGUGCAUGCUGGGCACUGAACAGUGCCCUAACAAUUUGUGGCAGGCUUAUGUUUGGUGUCAUGUGUUUUUACCGGGGGAGAUGUCUUUUAUACGGCUGGCAUUGCGGCCAUUUGCUGGGCUAUCUGGACCCGUCGUAACAGAGUUAUUUUUGAACAUAUUCCUCUCAAAUCUCCGUUUGAAUGCAUCUUCUCUGCUUGUGCGCUGUUGUGUUACUGGGCAGGUCUGA
rnacentral:rRNA from 1 species